GGGGGGGGCGGGGGGGGGGCGGGAGGCGUGCAAGGCGGACGAAGCGCUGUGUUUGAUUUCCUUCGGGGCGGAUUAUUUUGUGACUGAGUGGCGGACGGGUGAGUAACGCGUGGGUAAGCUGCCUUGGACAGGGGGGUAACAGUUGGAAACGGCUGCUAAUACCGCAUAAGCGCACAGCAUCGCAUGAUGCAGUGUGCACAACUCCGGUGGUAUAAGAUGGACCCGCGUUGGAUUAGCUAGUUGGUGAGGUAACGGCCCACCAAGGCGGCGAUCCAUAGCCGACCUGAGAGUGUGACCGGCCACAUUGGGACUGAGACACGGCCCAAACUCCUACGGGAGGCAGCAGUGGGGAAUAUUGCACAAUGGGCGAAAGCCUGAUGCAGCGACGCCGCGUGAGCGAAGAAGUAUUUCGGUAUGUAAAGCUCUAUCAGCAGGGAAGAUAAUGACGGUACCUGACUAAGAAGCACCGGCUAAAUACGUG
rnacentral:rRNA from 1 species